rnacentral:rRNA from 1 species
UACGAAGGGGGCUAGCGUUGCUCGGAAUCACUGGGCGUAAAGCGCACGUAGGCGGAUUGUUAAGUCAGGGGUGAAAUCCUGGAGCUCAACUCCAGAACUGCCUUUGAUACUGGCGAUCUCGAGUCCGGGAGAGGUGAGUGGAACUGCGAGUGUAGAGGUGAAAUUCGUAGAUAUUCGCAAGAACACCAGUGGCGAAGGCGGCUCACUGGCCCGGUACUGACGCUGAGGCACGAAAGCGUGGGAGCAACAGG